GAGCCCUAGACAGCCGGGAGGUGAGCUUAGAAGCAGCUACCCUCUAAGAAAAGCGUAACAGCUUACCGGCCGAGGUUUGAGGCGCCCAAAAUGAUCGGGACUCAAAUCCACCACCGAGACCUAUCCGCACCACUCAUACUGGUGAUCGAGUAGAUUGGCGCUCUAAUUGGAUGGAAGCGGGGGCGAGAGCUCCUGUGGACCGAUUAGUGACGAAAAUCCUGGCCAUAGUAGCAGCGAUAGUCGGGUGAGAACCCCGACGGCCUAAUGGAUAAGGGUUCCUCGGCACUGCUGAUCAGCCGAGGGUUAGCCGGUCCUAAGUCUCACCGCAACUCGACUGAGACGAAAUGGGAAACAGAUUAAUAUUUCUGUGCCAUCAUACAGUGAAAGUUGACGCCCUGGGGUCGACCAUGCCGGGCUUUCGCCCGGUCGAAUCGUCCAACUCCGUGGAAGCCGUAAUGGCACGAAGCGGACGAACGGCGAGAUAGAGAAAUAUGGUUCAACCUGGGGCCCGUGAA
rnacentral:rRNA from 1 species